CUGGACGGAGGAUCACAGUGCCCUGUGGACCUGAGGCCCCAGAGAGGUGAGGACAGAGGACAGGCUGCAGGGAGAGCAGCCUGGACGGACGGACGCUCACAGCGCCCUGUGGACCUGAGGCCCCAGAGAGGCGAGGACAGAGGACAGGCUGCAGGGAGAGCAGGAUCAAGUUAUUCAUAAAAGAAAAACUGGAACUGCAAACAACCCAGGGAUUCCACAGCAGGGGAGCAAUUAAAUACGAAAGG